CUGAAACCAGCAAGAGGGCUGCUACCCUCCCGCAUACCGCUCCUCCAAAGGAGUAAAUGGAGGUAAAAUGGAGAUCUACUCAUACUAGGAGACUUGUGGAAGACAUGUGGAAGCAUCUAAGAAGUCUCAAGAAGAUCAUUACCAAUUUGAACACAAAUUGUGCUUUAAAAAUCAAAUCCAUUACAGAUUCGGAAAACUGCCACUGCAGAUCAGUCAACUUCAACGGAGUGUCAAAAAUCUUUCAGAGCUCAGAAAAUUAUGAUCUUUAUAUGGUUGGAAAGCUACGGAUGUCUAGUUUCCAGAACUUUUUACAGCUCAUCGAUAUCUAUUUUCUAGAAGAAGUUAUGACCGUUUUAGUGCACUGAGGUCAAGUCUGCCGGAAAUCUGUUUUAUGUCAAAGGAGUUCAAACUCAAUUUUGUUUCUUCAUCAUCUAUCUAAGUUUGUUUUCAAACUUGAGUACCAUUUGGACAGAACAUUUAGACUGUUAUAGUAUAAAUAUCUAUAUCUUGUAAUAGGUACUUGAGUGUAUAGAUAAGUACUUGAGUGUGUAAAUAUAGGUAUGAAGACUUGUGUGGCAUAAAGGAGAUGGGGAAGCAACAAGCAUGGCAGCUCUCAUAAUUUCAGCAACCAUGUGGAGCUGCAGCUAUGAUCAUUGAAGCCACUAUAAUGGACUUCGUACCAUUACAUUCACACUACAAUGUAUUCCUAUAAAUACCCUCUUUUGUGAGAAUAAAAAGAGACCUUCCUUCAUCAAUUUUCCAUCUUCUUCCUCUUUCUAUUUUCUUACCAUAGCAGUUUUCAUAUCUUCAAGGAGCUUAGCUGUGCCAUCCACCCUCCUAACUGUGAUCACCACCUUGUAUCGCCACCUUAGAGCUGCUUUGGAUCUUUGGGACGUAAUCAAGGGUUGUUCAUUCCACCAUUAUCAUCAUAUGUUCACGGUUAUGUGUAAUUGUAGAUAGAGAAUUCUGUUUUUAUUUUCUUUGUAAACUGAAAUUAUGAGUUCAUAAUCUUAUUUUUGGAACAAUUUUGAUGCUCUUUUCAAAGUAAUAUUAGUUUAUGUGUUCUUGAUCUUUGUGUGUUUCAUCUUUAUGAGAAGAUAAUCUGAUUUUGUUUUAAAGAAAACGUUUA